AAUUUGAUAUAAGUGUUGUCUAACCACUCCUAAUCUAUCUCUAACUCUUAUAACUAGUCAAAAUGCAUUGGAUUGUGACACAUUUUAACCUA
rnacentral:sRNA from 1 species